UGGCUUCGGCUGAGGGCUCUGGGUCCACCUCCCACCCGUGUUUAUUUACCUUGUUGCUUCGGCGAGCCUGCCUUUUGGCUGCCGGGGGACGUCAGUCCCCGGGUCCGUGCUCGCCGGAGACACCUUAGAACUCUGUCUGAAGAUUGUAGUCUGAGAUUAAAUAUAAAUUAUUUAAAACUUUCAACAACGGAUCUCUUGGUUCCGGCAUCGAUGAAGAACGCAGCGAAAUGCGAUACGUAAUGUGAAUUGCAGAAUUCAGUGAAUCAUCGAGUCUUUGAACGCACAUUGCGCCCUCUGGUAUUCCGGAGGGCAUGCCUGUCCGAGCGUCAUUGCUGCCCUCAAGCACGGCUUGUGUGUUGGGCCCCGUCCUCCUUCCGGGGGACGGGUCCGAAAGGCAGCGGCGGCACCGCGUCCGGUCCUCAAGCGUAUGGGGCUUUGUCACUCGCUUUGUAGGCCUGGCCGGCGCUUGCCGAUCAACCAAACUUUUUAUCAGGUUGACCUCGGAUCAGGUAGGGAUACCCGCUGAACUUAAGCAUAUCAAUAAGCGGARGA
rnacentral:rRNA from 1 species